rnacentral:rRNA from 1 species
GUGAGGUAAUGGCUCACCAAGGCUUCGACGGGUAGCCGGCCUGAGAGGGUGACCGGCCACACUGGGACUGAGACACGGCCCAGACUCCUACGGGAGGCAGCAGUGGGGAAUAUUGGACAAUGGGCGGAAGCCUGAUCCAGCAACGCCGCGUGAGGGAUGACGGCCUUCGGGUUGUAAACCUCUUUCAGCGGGGACGAAGCGCCGGUUAAUGGUCGUGACGGUACCCGCAGAAGAAGCACCGGCCAACUACGUGCCAGCAGCCGCGGUAAUACGUAGGGUGCGAGCGUUGUCCGGAAUUAUUGGGCGUAAAGGGCUCGUAGGCGGUUUGUCACGUCGGGCGUGAAAUCCACCAGCUUAACUGGUGGCCUGCGUUCGAUACGGGCAGACUAGAGGUAUGCAGGGGAGAACGGAAUUCCUGGUGUAGCGGUGAAAUGCGCAGAUAUCAGGAGGAACACCGGUGGCGAAGGCGGUUCUCUGGGCAUUACCUGACGCUGAGGAGCGAAAGUGUGGGGAGCGAACAGGAUUAGAUACCCUGGUAGUCCACACCGUAAACGUUGGGCGCUAGGUGUGGGGCCUAUUCCAUGGGUUCCGUGCCGCAGCUAACGCAUUAAGCG